ensembl:lncRNA
AUUUUGAUGCCGUAUUUUGUUAUUAGAAAUCGUAGGGUAACAAAAAACGUUUCCGGACCAUUUUUGUGCACAAAAAUAAAUAUGAAUAAAAUGGCUGACCUGUAUAGAUCUAUUGUACAGUCAUUACACAUUUUGCACAUUUAAAUAAAAGGUAUUUUCCUUUUCACUCUAAGUGCAAAUGAAUAUUCACCACUCAUUUGCAGGCGAAAAUGUCACUCACACUUCACUCGUAUCCAAACCUCCAGAGGGUUUCAUGUGGGGAAGAAGAAGAAGAAAUUAAUAAUGGAUUCGUCAUGUUGAAAAUAUAAAUUUAAAGUUGUAGAUUCCAAACCAAAGGACGUAUAUGGUGACCCCCCCCCCCCCCCCCAUUCUCUCCGUCUGAGAGCAUAAACAAGCCCACUAUUCAUUUGUGAACGUAUCUGCCCCCAACCAUCUCUCCACGCUCUGAAAUGUACUCAUACGUCCCGUCCCGAUCACCCCCGCUGUGUUGAAACAACUCAUUUAAUAGAAGAGAGAAAUCGAUGCGCUCCUUGGAAAGAGCGAAGCAGCAGACAGCGGCAUGUCGGUGGAAACGUGUUGGAACGAGGUGCAGGAUAUUCUCUGCAGGAAGGAAUGACACUUGCACUUUAGUGGGAAGACGGGCGAUGGGGAGGCCACUUCUGGUAGAGGAAGGAAGAACCUCAGGAGCCGAUUAAUGAACGAAUCAAAAGCUCAGAUUUUGGGCAGACGGGUGGGAUUCCGUACGUCUACGGAACACAUCGUGGAGACGUAUGGAUUCGUACGGUGGCCUGAGAAAGACAGACACACUCGCUCCUCCUCUUUGUUCCAUUAAUCUGUGGGAGCAGGGAAACGAUACUGGAGCAUCUAUAGGUGGCUCCUCUCUCUGCAAUGUGUGUGUUUGUGUGCGUGCAGCUUUUUCAAAAAGCAGCUCUGUGAUGCUUUAUUUAAUUGGUCGUGGACCACCUGGAGUUCCAACAUUCCCCCCGGCUGACUUCCCUCCCCCGGGUCACCUGUGCACGUGACGUCGAUAGAAGAGACGGAUGAAAUACGGCAUUUGCAUUGAAGCUGGAAUAACGUUUUAUUUGUGUGCAUCAAAAUUGAUGCGUUAACUUUUUUAAAUACAAAAAACUGA